rnacentral:rRNA from 1 species
UACAUGUGGGGCAAGCGUUGUUCGGAAUUACUGGGCAUAAAGGGUGCGUAGGCGGUUUGUUAAGUCACUGGUGAAAGUUUGCGGCCCAACCGUAAAAUUGCCUGUGAUACUGGCGAACUUGAGUGCGUGAGGGGUAGGGGGGAACGAGCAGUGUAGCGGUGAAAUGCGUAGAUAUUGCUCGGAAGGCCGGAGCCGAAGGGGCCCCUACUGGUACGCAACUGACGCUGAGGCACGAAAGCGUGGGGAGCAAACAGG